rnacentral:rRNA from 1 species
CCUACGGGAGGCAGCAGUGGGGAAUCUUGCGCAAUGGGCGAAAGCCUGACGCAGCAACGCCGCGUGCGGGAAGAAGGCUUUCGGGCUGUAAACCGCUUUCAGCAGGAACGAAAAUGACGGUACCUGCAGAAGAAGGAGCGGCCAACUAUGUGCCAGCAGCCGCGGUGAUACAUAGGCUUCAAGCGUUGUCCGGAUUUAUUGGGCGUAAAGAGUUCGUAGGCGGUCAAGUAAGUCGGGUGUGAAAAUUCUGGGCUCAACCCCAGAGACGCCACCCGAUACUGCUUAACUUGAGUUCGAUAGGGGAGUGGGGAGUUCCUAGUGUAGCGGUGAAAUGCGCAGAUAUUAGGAGGAACACCGGUGGCGAAGGCGCCACUCUGGAUCGAUACUGACGCUGAGGAACGAAAGCAUGGGUAGCAAACAGGAUUAGAUACCCUGGUAGUCCAUGCCGUAAACGGUGGGCACUAGGUGUGGGUUUCUAUUAACGAAAUCCGCGCCGUCGCUAACGCAUUAAGUGCCCCGCCUGGGGGAGGUACGGUCGCGAGACUAAACUACAAUAGAAUUAGUACGGCGUGAGACGUGCCGACGGACGACCGACGAGGGAGUAGG